rnacentral:rRNA from 1 species
AUUGAACGCUGGCGGCAGGCCUAACACAUGCAAGUCGAGCGAGCGGCGGACGGGUGAGUAAUGCCUAGGAAUCUGCCUGGUGGAGGGGGAUAACUACUGGAAACGGUAGCUAAUACCGCAUACCAUCGGAUGUGCCCAGAGGGGAUUGGCUAGUAGGUGGGGUAAAGGCUCACCGAGGCGACGAUCCCUAGCUGGUCUGAGAGGAUGACCAGCCACACUGGAACUGAGACACGGGCCUGACGCCUACGGGAGGCAGCAGUGGGGAAUAUUGCACAAUGGGCGCAAGCCUGAUGCAGCCAUGCCGCGUGUAUGAAGAAGGCCUUCGGGUUGUAAAGUACUUUCAGCGGGGAGGCGUUACCCGCAGAAGAAGCACCGGCUAACUCCGUGCCAGCAGCCGCGGUAAUAC